GAUGAACGCUAGCGGGAGGCUUAACACAUGCAAGUCGAGCGGGCGCUUUCGGGCGUCAGCGGCGGACGGGUUAGUAACGCGUGGGAACGUGCCCUUUGCUCUGGAAUAGCCCUGGGAAACUGGGGGUAAUACCGGAUGUGCCCUGAGGGGGAAAGAUUUAUCGGCAAGGGAUCGGCCGCGUUGGAUUAGGUAGUUGGUGGGGUAAAGGCCUACCAAGCCGACGAUCCAUAGCUGGUUUGAGAGGAUGAUCAGCCACACUGGGACUGAGACACGGCCCAGACUCCUACGGGAGGCAGCAGUGGGGAAUCUUAGACAAUGGGGGAAACCCUGAUCUAGCCAUGCCGCGUGAGCGAUGAAGGCCUUAGGGUUGUAAAGCUCUUUCGUGGGGGAAGAUAAUGACGGUACCGCAAGAAUAAGCCCCGGCUAACUUCGUGCCAGCCGCCGCCGUAAAAC
rnacentral:rRNA from 1 species